GGUGCUUUGGCUGAAUGGGUAAGCACCGGACUGAAAAUCCGGCAAUCGGGGUUCGAUUCCCCGGGGCACCA
rnacentral:tRNA from 1 species